UGGGGAAUAUUGGACAAUGGGCGAAAGCCUGAUCCAGCCAUGCCGCGUGUGUGAAGAAGGUCUUCGGAUUGUAAAGCACUUUAAGUUGGGAGGAAGGGCAGUAAGCGAAUACCUUGCUGUUUUGACGUUACCGACAGAAUAAGCACCGGCUAACUCUGUGCCAGCAGCCGCGGUAAUACAGAGGGUGCAAGCGUUAAUCGGAAUUACUGGGCGUAAAGCGCGCGUAGGUGGUUCGUUAAGUUGAAUGUGAAAGCCCCGGGCUCAACCUGGGAGCGGCAUCCAAAACUGGCGAGCUAGAGUAGGGCAGAGGGUGGUGGAAUUUCCUGUGUAGCGGUGAAAUGCGUAGAUAUAGGAAGGAACACCAGUGGCGAAGGCGACCACCUGGGCUCAUACUGACACUGAGGUGCGAAAGCGUGGGGAGCAAACAGG
rnacentral:rRNA from 1 species